rnacentral:rRNA from 1 species
UACGAAGGGGGCUAGCGUUGUUCGGAAUCACUGGGCGUAAAGGGCGCGUAGGCGGCUUUAUAAGUCGGGGGUGAAAGCCUGUGGCUCAACCACAGAAUUGCCUUCGAUACUGUAGAGCUUGAGACCGGAAGAGGUAAGUGGAACUGCGAGUGUAGAGGUGAAAUUCGUAGAUAUUCGCAAGAACACCGGUGGCGAAGGCGGCUCUCUGGGACGGUACUGACGCUGAGACGCGAAAGCGUGGGGAGCGAACAGG